AUCCCAUGGUAUGGACAUUGGUAUAAAAGGGUUAAGAAUCUGUCCCAUGCUUGGCAUAAUGUUUCCCCUUCAUUCUAUUUAAAAUGUAGGAUUUGAUUGCUGAGUU